rnacentral:lncRNA from 1 species
CACAUAAAUGAAGAAUAGUUAUUCCACUGGCAUUAAAAAUGGCAGAAAAGACCCAACCAUCAAAAUAAGGAGAUAAGGCUAAACCUUUCAGUCUUAUCAAGACCAUGUCUAGAGCUUCUGAGUUGUUUUGCGGUUCCAACAAUUCCAAGCUUCCCAACCAUCAAGGGCAUUGGUGUCCUAGUGGAGGUAAACCCCCUUCCAGUCCUCCCUUGCCUAUGAAUACCAUCUCCAUGGUCUUCCCGUCCUAGUGGAGGUCAACCCCCUUCCAGUCCUCCCUUGCCUACGAAUACCAUCUCCAUGGUCUUUCCCAUAAGCCCUCUUACUUUUCUUUGGUGGGAGCAGCAAAGACAUCUUCUGAACAUGGACCCCAGCUUUUUCAUCCAGCUCAUCAG